CCCUUAGAUGUUCUGGGCCGCACGCGCGCUACACUGAUGCAUUCAACGAGUUUCUUCCUGGUCCGAGAGGAAUGGGUAACCUUUUGAAAGUGCAUCGUGAUAGGGAUAGACUAUUGCAAUUAUUGGUCUUCAACGAGGAAUUCCUAGUAGACGUAGUCCAUCAGACUGCAUCGAUUACGUCCCUGCCCUUUGUACACACCGCCCGUCGCUCCUACCGAUUGAAUGCUCAGGUGAGCCAUUCGGACUUUCAUCAUGCUGGUUUCCAGUUUUGAUGAAGGAAAGUCUUGCGAACCUUAUCAUUUAGAGGAAGGAGAAGUCGUAACA
rnacentral:rRNA from 1 species